GAAACUGGUGCUAAUACCGGAUGGUCUUUUUCUAAUGCGAGUUAGAUAGAGUAAAGGUGGCCUCUUUUUAAAGCUACCGUAUAGGGAUGAGCCUGCGUACCAUUAGCUAGUAGGUGGGGUAACGGCCCACCUAGGCGACGAUGGUUAGCGGGUCUGAGAGGAUGAUCCGCCACACUGGAACUGGAACACGGACCAGACUCCUACGGGAGGCAGCAGUGAGGAAUAUUGCGCAAUGGGGGCAACCCUGACGCAGCGACGCCGCGUGAGUGAGGAAGGUUUUCGGAUCGUAAAGCUCUGUCAGAAGGGAAGAAGUGUUAUAUGGUUAAUACCCAUAUAAUUUGACGGUACCUUCAGAGGAAGCACCGGCUAACUCCGUGCCAGCAGCCGCGGUAAUACGGAGGGUGCGAGCGUUGUUCGGAAUUACUGGGCGUAAAGGGCGCGUAGGCGGCUUGAUAAGUCAGAUGUGAAAGUCCAUGGCUCAACUGUGGAAGUGCAUUUGAAACUGUCUGGCUUGAGUAUUGGAGGGGAAAGUGGAAUUCCCGG
rnacentral:rRNA from 1 species